rnacentral:rRNA from 1 species
UACAGAGGGCCGGCCGCUGGCAACAUCGGUCCAAUCCUUAAAGUCAUCCUCAGUUCGGACUGGGGUCUGCAACCCGACCCCACGAAGCUGGAUUCGCUAGUAAUCGCGCAUCAGCCAUGGCGCGGUGAAUACGUUCCCGGGCCUUGUACACACCGCCCGUCAAGCCAUGAAAGCCGGGGGCGCCUGAAGUCCGUGACCGCGAGGGUCGGCCUAGGGUGAAACCGGUGAUUGGGGCUAAGUCGUAACAAGGUAGC